GGCCUUAAUUAGUUACUCAUUAGAGAUUCAAGAUGUGCCUCUUCCCAAGAGAAAAAGAACAGGUUUUUUUCUUUUGUUUUCUUUUAGACAAUCAAGAACAAUGCAGGGGGCAAUCAUUCAGGAACAGAGCCCGGAGCCCCCAGGGAAAAGAGCCUUCUCUGGGUGCUAGGCCGUGAGGCUCUGCAUAGGGACCAGCUGACUCUGGGCAACCCCGCAGAUCUGCAGUACUCUUCUGCUAGCCUUACCUCUUCUCCCCGCACCACCACCCCAUGGCCUCCUGUGCUCAUCAUCAGCUAACUCGAAAUGCUUACUUCAUAAGGCCUGUGGGCCACAUGGCUGAGCGGGACCCUGGGGGACCUAUCGUGCCCGGGGCAGAGAAGCCCUGCAGACCCUGAGAGACAGCCACGCAGCCGAAGCACGGCCCCACCAGUUGCCACCGCUGGGGACAGGACAACGUCAUGGGUGGCCAGAGUGGGCGAUGGCACGGAAACGGUAACACCGGGGAUGAAACUGCCCCUGUCACAGCUGAGUCUCCACUUCUGAGCAUGCUGACGGGCACAGACAGUAAACCAACGAUUCUGGGUGGCCUGUUGCUGUGGUGUGGCAGAGAGGGCACAGCCCCAAGGAGAUAGGAGGCUGGACUGUACCACCACCACUUGGCAAGUCAGUGGACCCCUCUUGCUUCACUCCCCUUAUUUGUGCAAAAAAGAUGGGGCCAGAUCAGGAAUUUCCAGCCAAGCUCUCUGGGGCUCCAGUGGCGGUGUGGAGUCUUUAUAUUGGUCAGAAGGUGCUACUUUUGCAGAAGGCACUCAGAGGAGGGAAUCUGCAUCCUGUUCACCCUACAAGCAGGCUCUGCCUCAAGCUCUGUAGCCAGGGCCUGCACUCCAUGGGGACAGCGAGGGAGCCAUCUAUGGAAGUUUGAGCAGGUGAGGUGCCUGGGUUUUGCUCAGUAUGCCCAGAGAAUGGGGGAGAAAGUUAGGUUGGAACCUGGUUUGGAGUGCAGCCAAGAUCAUGGCAGAGGAGAGUCUCGGGAGCUCUGUUGCUUGAACUCUGCAGUAUCCAGGACCUCCAAGUGAGCAUCACCAGAGGCCCGAGACGUUUUUACGAGGUAUUUAUUUAUUUAUUUAUUUAUUUAUUUAUUUAUUUAUUUAUUUAUUUUAGAUAUUUUCUUAAUGAUUUUUUUAAAAAAUAGUUUUAAUUUAAAUUCCAGUUCAUUACCAUACAGUGUAAUACUAGUUUCAGGUAUACAAUUGAGUUAUUCAACACGCCCAUACAACACCUGGUGCUCAUCACAACAGGUGCACUCCUUAAGCCCCAUCACCCGUUUGAUCCAUCCCUCCUGCCCUCCUCCUCUCUGGUAAUCAUCCAUUUCUUCUCUAUAGUUAAGGGUCUGUUUCUUGGCUUGCCUUCCCCUCCCUCUCUCUCUUUUUUUUUCCUUUGCUCACUUGUUUUGUUUCUUAAAUUCCAGAUAUUAUAGCAGCAUUAUCUCUAAUAGCCUAAUUAUGGAAGCAGCUCAAGUAUCCAUCAAUUGAUGAAUGGAUAAAGAAGAUGUGGAUUAUUACUCAGCCGUAAAAGAGAAUGAAAUCUUGCCAUUUGCAACAACAUGGGUGCAGCUAAAGAAUAUUAUGCUAAGUGAAAUCAGUCGGAGAAAGAGAAAUACCAUAUGAGUUUUUAGAGUCCACCUGCCUCUGGAUCUCCAAGUGGAGAUGAAAGGUCAGACUGUCCCUUAAGCCAUGACCUCUCACCAUCCUGAGGUCCGAAUCCCUGUGCUCUGACCCUGCACUAAAGAGAUUGCUAUUGAUACAGUUUUAUAUUGAUACAGUUUAGACUAUUAAGUAGUCAUUAAUAACCAAUUUCACUUACCCACAUUUAUCAGGUCCCAGGCACCGUGCUAAAGCUUAACCUACCUUCUCUCAUUUUUCCCUAUUUAAUUCCCCACUCACCUUUCAGAUCUUAACUGUCCCUCCUUAGGGACAUCUUUCUCAACUCCAGUGCCUCUGCUCCCCUAGUCCUCAAUAACAUGGUCUACUUGGACCACAAACCUUCCCUUUGAGGCACUUACCUCAGUUGACAUUU
rnacentral:lncRNA from 12 species